UUUUUUUAGGCUAAUAGUGUAGAUAAUAUGAGAUAUGAUAUUAUUUGGUAGGUUGUUUUUAUCCUCUUGAUUUUGUUAAUGUUUAAUAUCAUUAUUAUCAUUCAACUUCUUUUUUUCAUUUUACCUGUUUUGAUGUCGCCUUGAUUUUUGUUUUGUUUUUUGUGUGUUUAUUAUCGUAUUUGACUUCCAAAUUUGAGAACUGUGGGAGAUUUUGUUCAAGAACAGAGCAUUAUGGAUAAAGAACGGUUCAUUUAUUUUAUCCUUUUUUUUAAAAAAAAUUAUAUUAUUUUUAUAAUCAGCAUCAUUAAUUUCGUAUUGAUUUUUUUGUUUGUUUUUUAGGUGUGUUUUCAACUGCAAGAAAUCAGAAUACUUUAAGCAAGUUGUACGUUAAUUUGUGCAAGAUUUUCUGGUUUUAGUCAUGAUGAAGAUGAGUGGGUGAAUGUAAGAAAGGGGAUUCGUGAGCGGUCAAUCCCCUUGGAGGCUUCAAAAUGUCAUAAGAUCAAAUAAGAAAUUUGAGAAUGGUUUUGUGGCCACAUUUAGCCAAUGCUGAUCUUGAGCUGGAAUUGGAGAAAGAGGAACUUCCCCCUUGUAUGACUUCUGUUUCCGAAGAUGAGAUAUUGAGGGUAAUGACUGCAUUACCCUAUUAUUGUUAAGUUGGUACUUGGUAGUCUAUUGUAGAGAGACAUGUUGCAGGCCUUCAUGAAGGUCUCUAGUAGAGGGCUGGAAUUGUAUCUCAUAUGAAUAACAGAGAUGGACUUUGAAAUCUCGCACAUGUACCCGACAUUGCUGUUGCAGAUUUCGAGCGAUCUCAACUCACAUUGUGUUAAACGAAAGAAGCACAUUAUGUUAUAAGGAGUAGUAUAAUAACUCUUGUAUUAAUUAAAAUGUCAAUGACACAUCAAGUUUCUGUUUUUUCAUUUUGAAUAUUGUAACUCUCUGUAUUAUUAUUAAUAGACCAAAGUAUUGCAUUGUUUAUUAAAA